CAACUACCCAAUUGCUAGCACUGCACCAAAUUAUCAGCACUCUGAAUAAAUCGACCAAUUCUAAGGUUUUCACUUAUUAAUUUGGGUUUCCACACUAAUAAAUAAAUAAAUACAUGUUUUUGGAAUCCUGCUAUUGGGAAAAUUAUACUUUAGGACCUCAAAUUGGCGGAAAUUGUGUAAACAAACAUUUGUGUCUCGAAGUUUCUUCUGUUUUUGCCUGUUUCUUGUGAUCGCCGUGAUAGUUAGGUGCUGAUAAUUGGGUUGCUCUAUGCUAGUAAUUGGUGGAGAUGGUGCCAGUAAAUGGUGACAGACCCAUUUUUUAUUCUUACUUGUCUAAAUAAUCUUGGAUAGAGGUCAA